rnacentral:rRNA from 1 species
UACGUAGGGGGCAAGCGUUGUCCGGAUUCAUUGGGCGUAAAGAGCGUGUAGGCGGCCAGGUAGGUCGGUUGUGAAAACUGGAGGCUCAACCUUCAGACGUCGACCUAAACCAUCUGGCUAGAGUCCGGGAGAGGAGAGUGGAAUUCCUGGUGUAGCGGUGAAAUGCGCAGAUAUCAGGAAGAACACCCGUGGCGAAAGCGGCUCUCUGGAACGGUACUGACGCUGAGACGCGAAAGCGUGGGGAGCGAACAGG